rnacentral:rRNA from 1 species
AUGGGUGCAAGGGCUGUCACUAAAAUAGACCCAUGUCACUGGAGCAGAGCAUGGAUGAGGUUAGGAUCCAACUGUGAUAGUGUAGACAACAACAUGUGUGAGAGCUUUAAUAAGUGGAUUGUGGAAGCUAGAUUCUUUGCUGUUAUUACUAUGCAAGAGACCAUUAGAAGGAAAAUCAUGGUAAGGAUACAAGAGAACAAUGACAAGUGGCCAAAGUGGAGUGGUACUAUCUGUCCAAACAUUAUGAAAAAACUUGAAAAGAUGAUCAAUGAGUCAGCUCAUUGCACUGCCAUAUCUAAUGGCAACAACUGCUUUGAAGUGACACAAAGAGUGCAGUAUAGAUUCAAAGUUGAUUUGACCAACUGGACAUGUAGCUGUAGGUACUGGCAGCUCUCUGGUUUACCAUGUGCACAUGCUGUGUGUGCUAUACACAUGGUCACAAAUGACAUUUCUGGCUAUGUUGCUAGCUGCUUUUCAGUGGAGAAUUUCAAGGCAACAUACUCACACUUCCUCCAGCCAGUAGAUGGUAUGGCAACUUGGCCUGAAUCCAACAGACCUAGGCCAGCAGCUCCAGGAUAUGUAAAAAUGCCAGGAAGGCCAAGAACUGAGAGGAAGAAAGGGAAGGGAGAGAAACCCACUGCACCUAAGCACAGGAUGGGUUAA